UGUUCAACCCUCCAAAGAACCUUCUUAUAAGGUAAGGAAUCUUGGCUCAAAGAGCUAAAGCGUCCUCUCCAAGUUCACACAGCUUUUGAAGGGGCAGACUGGAGACUGGAACCGAGCUCUCACCAUUGCAAAGCCAAAGCUGUCUCUUUACCAUGGUUCCCAAGUACACGGCAAAGAAAAUGGGCAGCUAAUGCAUCCGCCAGCUGUGAUUCUUUUAGAAACCCCAAACUCGUAUUCCCUUCAUCUUUGGCAGGUAUUCGUCAAACAGUCAAAAGACAAAUACCUAGGAGAGCGGAAUGCGCAAGUCACAGCCAGCAUGACAUCAUAAGGAGCAGACUGUGCCAGGCACGCAUCCUUUCCUCUGACAGGAUGGCAGGCUGAGAGAGAUACUGCAAGGGAUAUUUCAGAAAGGGAACGCGACCUCCUGAAUAUUCACAGAAAGGCCAGAUUCAAAUGCAGAUGUGUGUGGCCCCAAUGGACUUUUUCCACAUAUCCCUGAGGCCUCCCGAAUGCUUUACGGUCCUAUGAGAAGACCGUGAGACACCACACUGUGUCUGCACUGGGGUGUCAAGAUAAAGACAAAGUCUCUAAAGGCACGGCCCAUGGAACCUAACAGCAGAAAGGAAGAGGGUGUGCCUAGGGAUGAGGGAAGAGUCAAAGGAAGCGGCCCUUCUAAGAGUGCGUCUAGGAGACUCGGGGCUUAGGUGCCUCAUGGAUCCUGUGAGACACGAGGUAAAACAAUGACGCCCGUGAACCCCAGAAGCACAGAGUCACUUGACCGGAGACAGGCUGCGAACAGAAACAAGGGACAGCUCCAUGGUGACCUGCAUUGACCCAUGACCCAGAAUGAUAAAUGCCAGGGACAGGUGGCAUGAAAGAGCAGGUGGCCAUCCUUCUAUCACCUUUGUACACCAUGCAGAGCAAUCUCUGGGAAAAGAAGGGGCAGAUCAGCUGAGACUGAUUUGUUAUCUACCUGGGCUGAAUGGAGGCUCAAAAUCGGAACUGAACUCAGUUAUGAUAGAGAUAUUUAUAUCUAUCCCACACCUGAGUUUAUGGACUGAAAAUUAUACCUUCUGCAGGCAAAGGACUGAACUCAGAUGAUAACAACAACGUGGACCAAACAAACACGUGUUCAGAGCUGGGGCCUUGCCUGAAAUCAGGUCCAUCUCUUUCCUCCAUUCCGACUGCUGGGGCAGUUCAGCAUGACACGCCAAGAAUCCGUGAACUAGAUCCAAAGUCUCUCUGGUUGAGGAUUACAACCACAGCUAAAGGUCCAAACACAGUAAACCACACAAGGAAUGAGAGCUGAACAGUCAAGGCCCAGGCUUCUGCUUGAAGACAAACUUUUGGGGCUACCCAGGGCUGAGUAGGGCUUCAGGCACCCCUCCUUCCUGUGACUCAGAAGCACGGUGUCCAGGAAAGUCUUCCUGGAAAAAAUGAGAUUGGGGAUGAAAUUUGAAACCGAGUAGAUCUACAAAGGAAGAGAGGGAAGAGUUACCAGGAACGCAGAACUACAUGAGCAAAGGCCCCAUGGUAGCAGGGAGCUGGGCUUGCUCAUGGAAGGAAACAGGCCCCAUGUCUGGAGCCUGGGAGUGGAGCUUGUUCUGAUGAAGCAGGCUGCCACGUUGUGAGCUGCGUGUGGAAAGGCCCAUGCUGCAUGGUACUGAGGAGUCUCCAGGCGACAGCCAAUGAGGAGCUGGAUCAUGCCAGCCACCAUGUGAGUGAGCUGGGAAGCGGAUCCAACCCCGUUUCAGCCUUGAGAUGGCCACAGCCCCACGGACAUCCUACCUGCAGCCUUGCAAAGGGCCUUGAGCCCAAGACCCAGCUAAGCCACACCCAGAUUCUCAACCCAGAGAAACAGUGAGAUAAUAAACUGUGCUGGUUUUUAAGCUACUACGUUUUAGGGUCACUUGUUACACAGCAAUAGCUAACUAAUUCAGCUGGUAACAUAGACAGAUAUGAGAGAGUAUACAACAUUUUAGAUUUUAAUGGUUAUCCUUUGCAUUUUAGAGUGUUCCAGGUAGGUUCACAAACCCGGUACCCACAUGUAGUCCAUCUGAUCUUCGGAUUCUGAACCUUCCUGAUUCAUAAAAUCUACGUAUCACCUGAAGUUGG